GUAGGGUAAGUGGGGACACGGGGGAAGGGGCUGGGGGGCACUGGGGCCACACUGGGGUUCCUGGGGCUAUAGGGUCAGUGUGUCUAUAGGGCACUGGGGUCACUGCUGUGUCACACCCCUGUCACACCCGUAUCACACCGCUGUGUCACACCCCUGUUACACCCCGUCACACCGCUGUCACACGCUGUCACACUGCUCUAUCACACCCCUGUCACACCCCUGUGUCACAAUUGUGUCACACCGCUGUCACACCACUCUAUCAGACCCCUCUCACACCCCUGUCACACCCCUAUCACACCGCUCUAUCACUCUGCUGUCACACACUGUCACACCCCUGUCACACUGCUGUGUCACACCCCUGUGUCACUCCGCUGUCACUCAGCUAUCACACCCCUGUCACACCGCUCUAUCAAACCCCUGUCACACCCCUGUGUCACACCCCUGUCACUCCACUGUGUCUGUCACACCGCUCUGUUAUCACACCCCUGUCACACCCCUGUCACUCCGCUGUCACACUGCACUAUCACACCCCUAUCACACUGCUGUGUCUAUCACACUGCUCUAUCACACGCUAUCACAUCACUAUCACACCCCUUUGUCACUCCGCUGUCAGUCCACUAUCACACCGCUCUAUCACACCCCUGUGUCACACCCGUCACUCUGCUAUCACACCGCUGUCACACCGCUCUAUCACACCCCUAUCACACCGCUGUCUAUCACAUCCUGUCACACCCCUCUAUCACACCAUUCUAUCACACCCCUAUCACACCGCUCUAUCACACACUAUCCCUCCGUUCUAUCACUCCGUUCUAUCACACCCCUAUCACUCCACUCUAUCACACCACUAUCACACCCCUGUGUCACACCCCCGUGUCACUCCGCUGUGUCUAUCACACCCCCGUGUCACACCGCUCUAUCACCCCACUCUAUCACACCCCUGUAGCACCCCGCUCUAUCACACCGCUCUAUCAAUCACACCCCUCUAUCACACCCCUCUAUCACUCCCCUGUGUCCCUCCACUAUCACACCGCUGUCUCUAUCACACCGAUCUGUCACACCGCUCUCACACACUUGUAUCACACCCCUGUAUCACUCCGCUGUCAGACCCUGUCACUCCCCUGUAUCACUNNNNNNNNNNNNNNNNNNNNNNNNNNNNNNNNNNNNNNNNNNNNNNNNNNNNN
rnacentral:lncRNA from 1 species